rfam:Paravahlkampfia sp. A1PW2 18S ribosomal RNA gene, complete sequence.
CGACUGGUUGAUCCUGCCAGUAGUCAUAUGCUUGUCUCAAAGAUUAAGCCAUGCAUGUCUAAGAUCGCUCGGAACCCGCAAGGGUUUAUCGGUAAUCUGCGAAAGGCUCAUUAUAACAGUUACAAACUUAGCCACUAGUUUAUCUUACAAGGAUAACACAGCCAACUGCAGCGAUAAUACUUGCUCAAAAGCCAGUGAAUUGAAUAGCUGGUGAGCAAUAGCAUUAAAGGAACGUAUGCUAUUUACCUCGAAAGAGGUGUUGACCGCAGCAAUGUGGCCUAGAGGAAGUAUUUCUUCCUUAUCAGUUAGUUGUUUCAGUAAGGGUGAAACAAGACACUUACGGGUACGGGGAAUCAGUGUUCGAUUCCGGAGAGGGAGCCUGAGAAAUGGCUACUACAUCUAAGGAGGGCAGCAGGCGCGAAAAUUACCCAAUCCUAACAAUUUUGGGAGGUAGUGACAAGAAAUAACGACCUCACACGCAGACUCUGUCGGUGGGAGGGUACUUCGGUUUGCAAUGGUCCUAGUUUAAAUCUCUAGGAGAGUAUCGAUUGGAGGACAAGUCUGGUGCCAGCACCCGCGGUAAUUCCAGCUCCAAAAGCAUAUACUAAAAUUGCUGUAGUUAAAACGCUCGUAGUUUAUACGUAGGAGAUUAUUGAGAUCACUUGGUGUGGCGAACAUUUUCGUACCAUUACACUCAUUUUAUGGGUCUUGGUAUCGAAAGUGACCUUACGGUUUAUUCGUCACAUCCUUAGGCGACGAGUGGCUAAUACCCAUGAGUCACAAGUGUGAUCAGUAACUCUGCCCAGGAACCGUGAACAAAUUAAUGUGUUUAAGGCAAGCUCGUGUAUUCAAUACAUAGCUUGAAUAAUUUAGCAUGGAACCACUAUACCCUCCUUUUGGAGGGACCUGGUAAUAAAAGCUCGGCGGAGGACUCUGGUAUUGCGCACUUAGAGGUGAAAUUCCGAUAUUUCCGCAAGACGAACGGAUGCGUAGGCUGUCAUUGCCCAUCACACCUUUAUUGAUCAGGAACGAGAGUCAGGGGAUCGAAGAUGAUUAGAUACCGUCGUAGUCCUGACUGUAAACUAUACUAACAAGAGUUUGUGUAGACACUACUCUGUAUGAUCUUCGCAGAAUCCAAGGGAAACCUCAAGUUUUUGGGUUCUGGGGGGAGUAUAGUCGCAAGGCCGAAACUUAAAGGAAUUGACGGAAAGGCACCACCAGGAGUGGAGUUUGCGGCUUAAUUCGACUCAACGCGGGGAAACUCACCAGGUUAGGACAGAGGAGAGAUUGACAGGUUGAGAGUCCUUUCUUGAUUCUUUGAUUGGUGGUGCAUGGCCGUUCUUAGUUCGUGGAGUGAUCUGUCUACUUAAUUGUGUUAACGAACGAGACCUUAACCUGCUAAUUAGCGCAUGGGUCGGUAAAACGAUCAUUUCACCCUUUGGGUGCUUGCUAUCUCAUAAUUCCUGAAUUAUGAGUGCUUCUUAGAGGGACAAUACGCGUUGAAAUUUUUUUCAUACCAGCGUGGGGAAGUUUAAGGCAAUAACAGGUCUGUGAUGCCCUUAGAUAUCCUGGGCGGCACGCGUACUACAAUGUUAUUAUCAACGAGCAACAUCCAAGCCCCUUCGCGGGAUCACUUGAGCCUAUACUUUAAGUAGUAUGGGGAAUCUUUGAAAUGGUAACCUGACUGGGAUAGCUGUUUGGAAUUACAUCUUGAACGAGGAAUUCCUAGUAAGCGCAAGUCAUCAUCUUGCAUUGACUACGUCCCUGCCUUUUGUACACACCGCCCGUCGCUCCUACCGAUUGGAUAGACAGGUGAACUUGAUGGACCUCUAUUUUGAGGGAAAUUUAUUAAACCUUUCUGUCUGUAGGAAGGAGAAGUCGUAACAAGGUCUCCGUAGGUGAACCUGCGGAGGGAUCGGGA